rnacentral:rRNA from 1 species
CCUACGGGAGGCAGCAGUGAGGAAUAUUGGUCAAUGGACGAGAGUCUGAACCAGCCAAGUAGCGUGAAGGAUGACUGCCCUAUUGGUUGUAAACUUCUUUUAUAUGGGAAUAAAAUGUUCCACGUGUGGGAUUUUGUAUGUACCAUAUGAAUAAGGAUCGGCUAACUCCGUGCCAGCAGCCGCGGUAAUACGGAGGAUCCGAGCGUUAUCCGGAUUUAUUGGGUUUAAAGGGAGCGUAGGUGGAUUGUUAAGUCAGUUGUGAAAGUUUGCGGCUCAACCGUAAAAUUGCAGUUGAAACUGGCAGUCUUGAGUACAGUAGAGGUGGGCGGAAUUCGUGGUGUAGCGGUGAAAUGCUUAGAUAUCACGAAGAACUCCGAUUGCGAAGGCAGUUCACUGGACUGCAACUGACACUGAGGCUCGAAAGUGUGGGUAUCAAACAGGAUUAGAUACCCCUGUAGUC